rnacentral:rRNA from 1 species
CCUACGGGUGGCUGCAGUGGGGAAUAUUGGACAAUGGGCGAAAGCCUGAUCCAGCCAUGCCGCGUGUGUGAAGAAGGCCUUCGGGUUGUAAAGCACUUUCAGUGGGGAAGAAAGCCUUGGGGCUAAUACCCUCGAGGAAGGACAUCACCCACAGAAGAAGCACCGGCUAACUCCGUGCCAGCAGCCGCGGUAAUACGGAGGGUGCGAGCGUUAAUCGGAAUUACUGGGCGUAAAGCGCGCGUAGGCGGUCUGAUAAGCCGGUUGUGAAAGCCCCGGGCUCAACCUGGGAACGGCAUCCGGAACUGUCAGGCUAGAGUGCAGGAGAGGAAGGUAGAAUUCCCGGUGUAGCGGUGAAAUGCGUAGAGAUCGGGAGGAAUACCAGUGGCGAUGGCGGCCUUCUGGACUGACACUGACGCUGAGGUGCGAAAGCGUGGGUAGCAAACAGGAUUAGAUACCCGAGUAGUC